rnacentral:ncRNA from 1 species
AUAAAGUUUUCUUGGCUUUUAUUUUUUAUAGUAUUGAGAUUUACAUGCAAAUUCUAGUGAGAUUGAGUUUUAGUUUUAAAAAGACUAAUUUAUUUUUUUUAAUUCGCAGUAAAAAGUUUUGGAAAUUUAAGGGAUUAAGAUCCAUGUAAUAUAUUUAGUAUCAACAAAAUUUGUGCCAGCAGUUGCGGUUACACAGGUGAUGCAAUAAAAAAUUUAUUUGGUUUUAAUUAAUGGACUUACGGUAAAGAAUUUAAUUGAGAUUUUAUUGGGUGAAAUUUUAAAAUUUUAAUAAAUUUUGAAGAAGUUUAUGAGUUAACAAAUUUAAGAGUUAAACUAGGAUUAGAUACCCUAUUAUUUUAAAUUAAACAGUUUAAGACCAGAUUAGUAGUAGUUAUAUUUAUGAAAAUUAAAAGAGUUGGCGGUAUUUUAGUCUAUUCAGAGGAACUUGUCCUAUCAUCGAUGGUCCACGAUUUAAUUUACUUAUUUUAAUUAGUCUGUAUAUCGCCGUAGUUUGAAUAUUCUUGUAAGAUUAAAAUGUUCAAUAAUUUUUAUUUUAGAAAGGAAUACAGGUCAAGGUGUAGCAUAUAGAUAAGAAGAGAUGGGUUACAAUAAAUUUAUUUAGUACGAAUUAAUAGAUGAAAGUUUAUUAUGAAGGGGGAUUUGAGGGUAAUUUUAUUCAAAUUAAUAAAAUGAUUCUAGCUCUAAAAUAUGUACAUAUCGCCCGUCGCUUUCAUUACAAAGUGGAAUAAGUCGUAACAAAGUAGGUGUACUGGAAAGUGUAUCUGGAUUGGG